UCUGUGGCUCCUUUUUUCUCUAAAGUAUGUGACAGUCUCUUCUCAUUUACUUAUAUAUGGGUUGAGUUGGGCUAUGUUUUUGUCUCAGAUGAGGCAAAUAUUGAAAUUUUCCACCAAAGCAUUUUAAUGCAUACAGUUUCCUAAAUCACUUUAUUGUAGUAUACCCCUGAUAUUGUUAUUUGGAGCAUUAGGAUACAUAUGCGGAAAUGCUUUUGAGGAAACCAUAAUUUUUCGAAAAGAAUGUGGUGCAUGAGCUGGAUCGCAUGAUUGAUUUGCUUGGCACUCCUUCCUUUAAAUCCAUUACAAGGCAGGCUGGUCAACCAGCUACAAUGGCGGUUGGUGCGGUUAAGGUGUAUAACGACACAUCUAUGGCUAACUGAUUUAGACCGAGAACUAAUCCUUAGGCUCUUGAACUGCUAGAAACUGUCGCUAGAAGCCAGCACCUACGCGGCCCAAAACGAGAGACUACCGCUUCGGUUCAUAGUCCAAGUCCUCUUUUUUCGAGAAGCUUUCGCUGCGUGCUUUUGUAGCUGGCUGCUUAUACGUUUCUGAUAGUUACAACUCACAGCUUCGUCUGCGUACAUCUGUAGCUAGCACUUCGAGCAAUGAUCGUGACCGUUCGAGAAUAAGAGAUGUCCCUAAUGGCAAGAAUCAAGAUCAAGAAAAUGGUGAAUUGGUUGAUUGAGGGUCAAUAAAUUUAAGGUUAAUUUUUUUAGUAAUUGGACUCUCAAGCAAUCUCGGAGUCAGCAUUUAGUUGAUAUUGCUGUAAUUAUAUUGUAGAUUGAUUUUGGACCAUCUUUAAAUGCUAUUUUCUCAUUUGUUUCUUA